GCGUCUUUAGCUCAGCUGGAUAGAGCACUCCCCUUCUAAGGGAGCGGCCUGGGGUUCGAAUCCCUAAAGGCGUACCA
rnacentral:tRNA from 1 species